AUUCCUCCAAACAUAUUUAGGAAUUUAAAAUAGUACUGAUUUAAGUUCUAGAACAAUUUUUAAAACUAUAAAACAAUAUUUAAAAUUUGGUGCAUGCCUGUAAUCCCAGCAGUUCUGAUCACAAGUUCAAAGCCUUCCUCAGCAACUUAUUGAGGCCCCAAGCAACUUACCAAGGCCCCAAGCAACUUAGACCCUGUCUUAAAAUAAAAAAAAUAAAAAGGGCAAGGGAUGUGGCUUAGUGGUUAAGUGCCUCUGAGUUCAAUCCCUCAUACAAAAAUAAAAAUAAAAAAUAAAAUGCAUUUGAAAAAUAAACAUGAGGAUAGCAAAUCCUUUCCUUUUAUCUAUAGAGGAAAAUGAGAGUUUUAAAUGGAUCAAAAAGAUUAUUGGACCUUUUCAAUGUAAAUCAAGGCACUAUGUCAAAGAUCUGAGUUUAUGGCUUCUCUGCUUUUCAGUGUCCUUGAAAACCUUAUAACUCUUGCAAAUCGUGGAUCACUGACAAUGUAUAAGUAAAUUAUGUUAUGGGCCAGGCUAUAUGGCAAUGACCAAACAGACUCCAUUGUACCCCGAGACUCCAUAUCAUAUACCAAAUGCUUCUCCCAGGGAAAGCCCCACCUCUGUACCUAUCAAUAGUUGCUUAGCACAGCAUGUUUGGCAACACAAAAUGGCAAUUCUUACACAAUGUACCUCUAAGAGAUUGAUUGUGUAGACACUAGUAACCAUCCUUUAACUUGUACUCAACCAGGGUCAUUUUGACCCACUUCCCCUCCGCUUACCAUUAUGGAAAGUCCCAUGGGAAAUCCCAGUGUACCCAUUGCCUUGGUUUUCUAAAAUAAUUUUUAAUUUGUUUUAAUUAGUUAUACAUGACAGUGGAAUGCAUUUAUGCACUUUGAUAUAUCAUACAUAGCUGGAAUAUAAUUACUCAUUUUUCUGAGUGUACAUGUUGCAGAAUCAUAGUGGUCAUAUAGUCACAUAUAUACAUACAGUAAUAAUGUCUGUUUCAUUCACCUAUCUUUCCUAUCCCCACAUCCCCUCCCAUCACUUCCCUCUACCUAAUCAAAGGUAAUACUAUUCUUCUCUAGUCCCCCCGCCCACAGCCUUAUUGUGAAUUGGCAUCUGCAUAUUAGAGAAAACAUUCGGCCUUUGGUUUUGUGGGAUUGGCUUAUUUAGUUUAGCAUGAUAUUGUCUAACUCCAUCCAUUUACUGGUGAAUGCCAUAAUUUUACUCUUCUUUAAAGCUGAGUUGCUGAGAGCCACAGCCGAGUCGGAAUGGCCCCUGGCAUUUUGCCAAUAGUAUUGGUUGAGAGGCAAGCCAUUGAGAUGAUGCUGGAUCGAUUCGGUUGUAUAUUAGACCUUUACUGUCCGCCUCAGCCUGCUACUUUGGAGUUCUUGUGCUACUUUGGAAUUCUCGUGGGGAUUCCCGGAGAGUUCCCAUGGGUUGGGGAAGUGCGGGAGGAGGGAUUUCCGGAAGAGGGAUUUCCGGUUGUUGGUUCCUGGAGGAGCCGCGUGGCGUUCGGGAGAGUUCCCUGGGAGCGUGUGGAGUGUGCUGGUGGAGUUCAGAAAUAAAGUUUGUUCCUGCUUCAGUGGCUCGUGAUUUGUGCCCAGCCAGACUGCGGCACUGAGUAAUAUUCCAUUGAGUAUAUACACCACAUUUUCUUUAUCCAUUCAUCUAUUGAGGGACUAACCUAGGUUGGUUCCAUAGUUUAGCUAUUGUAAAUUGAGCUGCUAUAAACAUUGAUUUUUAAGUCCUUUGGGU
rnacentral:lncRNA from 1 species